rnacentral:misc_RNA from 1 species
AUCAAAUGUUCAGGUAUGCUUAAAAAAGCAAGUCAAAUCUAAAACAUCGUCAUCUAGGCGUAGUGAGACCAAAGAGUAUUUUUUAGAAACUGCAAAUGGACGUGUUCAAGUCUGCAAGCAUACUUUUUUGAAUACGUUUGAUAUCAAGGAAUGGACAGUACGCUAUUGGCGUUUCAGAAGGACACUUAAAGAAAGAUGAG